GUCUUUGGCCAUAUCACACUGAACAUGCCCAAUCUUGUCUGAUCUUGGAAGCUAAGCAGGGUCAGGCCUGGUUAGUAUUUGGAUGGAGGGAAACCAAAAAGUUGGUUGACAACUAGC
rnacentral:rRNA from 1 species